GGCGAGAUGGCCGAGCGGUUAAGGCGUGUGACUCAAGUAAUUGCGUAAUCGUUACGUAAUCAGCUUGCCCGAUUCGGGUUUCUCAUCAUCGUAUGAUGGCAGGGGUUCGAAUCCCCUUCUCGUCA